rnacentral:rRNA from 1 species
UAGAGGAAGUAAAAGUCGUAACAAGGUUUCCGUAGGUGAACCUGCGGAAGGAUCAUUAAAAAUAUUUAGCACUUUGGUGUUAACUUCAACACAUUAUUGAAAACAACAGCUUUGGCGGCUUGCCGUCAAAGAUUAAACUCAACCUUUUUUAUUAUAAAUUUUGUCACAACAAAUUAUAACCUAAAAACUUUCAACAACGGAUCUCUUGGUUCUCGCAUCGAUGAAGAACGCAGCGAAAUGCGAUAAGUAAUAUGAAUUGCAGACUUUGUGAAUCAUCGAAUUUUUGAACGCACAUUGCGCCUUGUGGUAUUCCACAAGGCAUGCCUGUUUGAGCGUCAGACUCCCUCAAACCCUCGGGUUUGGCUGUGAGUGCACAAGCUCUAUAAAUUUGUUUACUCGAAAAUUAGUUUAGGAACAUCUCAUGUCUAGGAUUACCCACUCAUGAGUUGACCUUUUGAACUUUUUUAAUUUUCGACCUCAAAUCAGGUAGGACUACCCGCUGAACUUAAGCAUAUCAAUAA